rnacentral:rRNA from 1 species
UACGUAGGUGGCAAGCGUUGUCCGGAUUUACUGGGCGUAAAGGGCGUGCAGGCGGUUUGUCUAGUCUAGGGUGAAAGCUCCCGGCUUAACUGGGAGAGGUCCUUGGAUACUGGCAAACUUGAGGGAGGCAGAGGAAAGUGGAAUUCCCGGUGUAGUGGUGAUAUGCGUAGAUAUCGGGAGGAACACCGGUGGCGAAGGCGGGUCUCUGGGCAGUAACUGACGCUGAGGAGCGAAAGCGUGGGGAGCGAACAGG